UUAUGUCAUUUGAGAAACAGCAACAAACAUUUUUGUCCUCUUUCCUAUAUUCACCAGGCUUCUUUUGCAGAGGAAGCCAUUGCGUUAAUGUACUCAAUCCACCAGGCCAGGCCAGGCCACACUCCCUCCCUCGAUAUACCACAAUCUCUUUCUCUCUCCUCACCUCAUGUGUACUCUAUCGUUUCUCUCGCCAUUGUCAGUUCUGCACUCUCCUGAGUUCUAUGAUUCCAUUUCCAACCUCAUUCUUUUAUAUCUUAUUAUAUUAUAUAUAUAUACCAUAGUGUCGUAAUCUCUGCAACUUCCUGUGAAAAAUUCUUUUCUUUACCUAAACCCAAUAAAGCUUGCUAUUAGCAUUUCCCUCAAUCCCAUAUACAGUCACAAACAGCCUUUUACUGUAGAGAAUUGUCAUUUUUUUAAUAGAGAAAUGGGUUUUUUUAAUACAUAUUCUGUUUUUAGUUGCCUAUGGAUAUGGUCCAAUCAUUAAUUAAGAAAUGUUAAUUAUAGGGUUAUUCACAUGAAGCAUAUUUGAUUACAAUGUCAAAGUGACUGUUUGAGUCUAUGCUAUUGGGAGUUGCAGUCAAGAACAUGGAUAAGUGGUGUAUCUGAUUGCUCUUUCCAGGAAAAGAUAAAAAUGGGUCCUUUCCUUUUCAUUGAGAGAGAACACGAGCUGGGGCAUGAAAAAGCUACCACCAAGGGUUUCGUGAUAAUUCUCUCCACACACACACAAAGAAGGGGGAGAGAGAGAGAGAUGGCACGCAAUACUUUGGAUUUUUCUUCAAGCUUUCAACCACAUCGCCCUACAGCAAUCAUCAUGCCCUCCUCCUCUUCCUUGCGCUUCUCAGGGACUAUUCACCACCAUCAUCAUUACCCCCUCACCUCUACUACGUCUCCCUGCUGCUUUUUUCGCAACCCAACAGCUCCUUCACAUCCCAAAUCCAAAACAAGACAACUCACAGAGAAGAAGAAGAAGAAGAAGAAGAAGAAGAAGAAGAAAUGGAGUAGAGGGUUUACUCAUGAUGACAAAAAGCUGGCAUCUUUCACUUGAAGUUAAAAAGGGUCUUUUUUACAUCGAAGGAUCCUACAAACAAUCGGGGAAUCAAGCGUCUCGGUCCGAUCAUUUGCUAGAUCAAGCAAAUCCACAAGAAGAAUAAUUAGAAAAGCUGCUAUUUUGCUAGCUAGCUAUAAGGGUUUUUCUUCUCAUUUUGAUCACUUACUAAUUAUAUAUUAAUCACUAGUUUUUCUUUAAUCUGUUUCAAGAUCUUCCUUGCUGCUUAGUUUCUUUAAAAGAGAAGAUUUUGUUAUGUGGGUAUGUGUGUUUUCUAUUUGAAUAGAUCAUUUUCAUAACAUCUCUCUCUCUCUCUCUCUCUUGAAUGCUCAUGAACAUGUAAUAAUUGGCGUCUUGUGGAAUUAAUCUUUCUGUUUCUUGGUGAGACUAUAAGCAAUCAUAUACUGUUCAGAAGUUUCCUUUCAGGAUGAGAAAGGAACUAAGCUUUAAUACAUUUGAAGGCCAUGGCAGGCUUGCAAAUAACAGCAUUUGUCAUGUGGAAAAUGCUACAAGUACUAAAAUUCUUUCCCUUUGAUCUGUCAGACAUGGAAAAGGAAAGCAAAAAGAAAAUAAAAAAAGAAAUUGGAAAGGAUUCGCGUGCUUGUUGGUAUCCUUUUGUCAAACACUGCUACUUAUAUUUAGAAUUUUAUCACAUUGUACCCCUGGAUUGUACUUACUGAACCCUUGCUUUAAUAACAUUUCAAUAUGCUAUCGGUCGAA